GACGAACGCUGGCGGCGUGCUUAACACAUGCAAGUCGAACGGAAAGGCCCUGCUUUUGUGGGGUGCUCGAUUGGCGAACGGGUGAGUAACACGUGAGUAACCUGCCCUUGACUUUGGGAUAACUUCAGGAAACUGGGGCUAAUACCGGAUAGGAUCUCCUGCUUCAUGGUGGGGGUUGGUAAGUUUCGGCGGUUGGGGAUGGACUCGCGGCUUAUCAGCUUGUUGGUGGGGUAGUGGCUUACCAAGGCUUUGACGGGUAGCCGGCCUGAGAGGGUGACCGGCCACAUUGGGCCUGAGAUACGGACCAGACUCCUACGGGCGGCAGCAGUGGGGAAUAUUGCACAAUGGGCGGAAGCCUGAUGCAGCAACGCCGCGUGCGGGAUGACGGCCUUCGGGUUGUAAACCGCUUUCGCCUGUGACGAAGCGUGAGUGACGGUAAUGGGUAAAGAAGCACCGGCUAACUACGUG
rnacentral:rRNA from 1 species